UACAAAUCGUUUGAAAGAGUUAGUUGUCCUGGUACACUUAAACUCUGACCCAGCUGACAAAAUGUAAUGUUUGUGGGUGGAGAAAAUUAAGCUUAUGCUGUUUCUGUUUGACUUUUAGUCUACAUAUAGCUGAACUUCUAUCCAGGGAACACUAUGAUAAUCUUUUUGACCUUUAUCCAGAAAGUGCUUUGAAAACAUACACAGAUAUUUGGAAGAGUCUCUGCAGAGCCUUACUGUGCUAAUAUUACUAAUGAAGCCUUCUUCGUGAAGGGCUUGUACUUUGGUGGUCUGUCUCGCCAGCGGUGGGCUCAGUGUCCUUGUGUGUCCACCGAGCCUUGGACCCAACAUCUGCAGAUCCUGUGAAUACAGACCCCUCUUGGCACCCGGGGCAAUAUUUACAAGGUGGUGACAAGGACUUCUGCUAAGAACCUUGAAGGAAAAGUUCUGGGAAAGGUGACUUGCCAACUGUGUCAUGGAUUCAGAAGUUUGAGAACUGAAAUCUGAGUGCUCAAAACACGGCCACCUGUACGGAACUAUGGCUUAUAUGUGCAC